GAUGGCCUACCAAGGCGACGACGGGUAGCCGGCCUGAGAGGGUGUCCGGCCACACUGGGACUGAGAUACGGCCCAGACUCCUACGGGAGGCAGCAGUGGGGAAUAUUGCACAAUGGGCGCAAGCCUGAUGCAGCGACGCCGCGUGGGGGAUGACGGCCUUCGGGUUGUAAACCUCUUUCAGCAGGGACGAAGCGCAAGUGACGGUACCUGCAGAAGAAGCACCGGCCAACUACGUGCCAGCAGCCGCGGUAAUACGUAGGGUGCGAGCGUUGUCCGGAAUUACUGGGCGUAAAGAGCUCGUAGGUGGUUUGUCGCGUUGUUCGUGAAAACCGAGGGCUUAACUCUCGGCGUGCGGGCGAUACGGGCAGACUAGAGUACUGCAGGGGAGACUGGAAUUCCUGGUGUAGCGGUGGAAUGCGCAGAUAUCAGGAGGAACACCGGUGGCGAAGGCGGGUCUCUGGGCAGUAACUGACGCUGAGGAGCGAAAGCGUGGGGAGCGAACAGGAUUAGAUACCCUGGUAGUCCACGCCGUAAACGGUGGGUACUAGGUGUGGGUUUCCUUCCUUGGGAUCCGUGCCGUAGCUAACGCAU
rnacentral:rRNA from 1 species